CACUUUGUUUAGUCAUUAAAUUCAAUCUUUGCUGAGACUUUACAUCCACAUUUCACUAACACACACAAACUGAUGGCAAUGUUUUCUGUGUUUCAGAUCAUCAUCUUCCUCCUCCUUCUCUUGAAACUGGCCCUGACUGCACUGGUGUCAUCAUUGGUGCAGUGAUAGGAGUCCUGGUCCUGGUUCUAGUUGUGGUUCCGGUGGUUUGGUUCAGAAAACGCAUCUGUGGAGGUGCUUCUGAAAAAGACAAAGUCAAGUACAAAGGUACCAACAGCGUCUUAGGCGUCUCUGAACAGCGACAACAGCUCUGACUCUGGUGUUAAGGGUUCUGCUGGCUCUGGUUCUGGAGCCUCUACUUCUUCUACUGAUGCUGCUUCUUCCCCUGUGGCAGAAGACAGUGGCAACGAUGAGGCUGAGAAUUCCUGAACAGAAAUGAUCCAGCGAACGUCUGAAGUCUCCAGAAAUACUUCAUCAGAAACAUCAGAUCCAUCCGUCAAUGAGAAGGAGACUGAGACUAAGAGGAAUGUAAAUUAAACUAAAGCUUUUUGUAGCUUAGAAAACUGUAUAAGUAUUUUUCAAUCUUCAAUGUGACAUUUAGAUGAACUUGUUUGAAUCAGGAGCGUUUUUUAGAGCGAGCUGGAAGAAAUGAAACUAAUCCCGGGGUUUAGACUUUAAAGAGUCGAGAUUAAACUAGAAAGAUUUCUUCAUGGUGAACAUUUAAAACCUGGUUUAUGUUAGAUUAGUGAUGUGUUUCAUGUAGAAGAGUCAGGGAGAAACUUUCAAAUGAAUUUAAAAUCAGAAAAGAAAACAGAAUUAAAACAAGAAGAAGAUUAACAGAAAGUUUAAAGUAGAACUUUAUUGGUGCCUUAAUCUGGAUUAUUGAACAGUUUGAACCACGUUUUACAAACAGUCUGAAGUCGAUACACUGGCAUCAUAAUUUUAUAUUAAUCUGAUGUAUUGUGACCAGACACAUCAGGAAUGAUUGGAUGUAAAUAGUUGUUACUCUCUAGAUUUAAACUCCUUAGCUGUAUAAGUGUGACCUGGUACCAGCAACAGAACUUUGCUGUAAACAGAUUAUUAUUUUAUUAUUUUAUUAGUAAAUCUCUUCUUCAUGUUUUAAAGCUAAUAAUCAUUAAAUAUGCACCUGUCUUCAGUGAAUUCAGUUUGUAGAUGGGAUGUUAAGCUCUUUUAUUUUUAAAUGUACUCUGUGUAUUAUCUCUGUUUUUACAUUUUUAUCAUGAAUAAUCAUUUCCCGCUGAGGAGCACUUUGGUUUUACUUGCUUUAAGUUCUGAGCACGAUGUUUUUGGAUGGUUUCAGUUCAUUGUUUUCCAGCAGAUUAUUAUUAAAGGUUAUUUUAAUCGGACAAGAACUGAUUUUACUGUUUAUUCUCUUUUUGUGAAUGGCUUUCAGAAAUUAAUAAAAGUGACUUAGUCAA